rnacentral:rRNA from 1 species
CCUACGGGAGGCUGCAGUGGGGAAUAUUGCACAAUGGGCGAAAGCCUGAUGCAGCGACGCCGCGUGGGCGAAGAAGGCCUUAGGGCCGGAAAGCCCUGUCGGGAGGGAAGAAGGAAGCGACGGUAGCACCCAAGGAAGCCUCGGCUAACUACGUGCCAGCAGCCGCGGUAAUACGUAGGGGGCGAGCGUUAGCCGGAAUCAUUGGGCGUAAAGGGUGCGUAGGCGGCCUGGGAAGGGCGGGGGCUAAGGCGGUGGCCCAACCACCGUUCGCCCCGCGAACUGGAGGGCUAGAGUGUCGGCGAGGGAAGCGGAAUUCCUUGUGUCGCGGUGCACUGCGUAGAUCUUAGG